AGUAAUUGAACCCAAUAACAGUCGCGUGAAGGACGCCUUCUCAUGCUACACACGUCAUCACCGUUUUACUGUGCAGCGUUGAGAAAGCUAGAAAAAACAGCCUCUCUGAUAGAGCGAUCACAGCGAUUGGAUAGAAGGGUUUCGUUCUGGUCGUUCCUAUUGGGUCAAACUGGUCCAGAUAACACCUACCCCAGGACCGUCCUCCCUUUCCCUUCUGAACGAAGCAAACUGCAAACCUAACCGGCCGGCACGAGCGUCGCCAGCAGGAGAGGAACUGGCUCCGCUCUCUCACGCAGUUACACGCACGUGGUCGUCUCGAGGGAGGAGUGGGUGGGAGGAGAAGGCGGCGGCGGCAGUUUCGAUCUGUGCUCUGCCUUACGCGGGAGGCAGCGGAUCGAUCUGGACGAACUGGCUGCCGGAAGGAUGGGAGGAAGAAACCAUCGUUGGCCGGCUGGGGGUCAGCAGGUCCGGAUCCGCGCAUUGUCUCCUUAUGCGCCAGUGCGAAGCAAGGCGCCCAUCGCCCGUCGCCCAUGCCAAUCCUCCUCGGCUCGUUAUCGUCUCUGUUAGGCAGACAGGGCAAACCAUUGCUAUUAGGAAGGUUCUUCAGGAUAAGCAGUACAAGAACCGCGAGCUUCGGACCAAACACCUACAUGACCACCCAAAUGUCGUAGCUCUGAAGCAUUGUUUCUUUUCUACAACUGAGAAGGAUGAAAUUUUGCUGAACUUGGUUCUCGAGUAUGUAUAUCGCAUUACCGCACUACCUCCUUAGUGGUUUGGUAGCGGGACAGAAUAGGGUGGUGGAGGUGAGGCAGCAGAGAGUGGGCGCUGGCCAUGCUCGCGAGGCCAUCCGUGAUGCAUCGAAUAUGUUAGCAGGUUUGCACUGCGCUCAUGAUCAUCAUAUGUUUGUUAAAAUGCAUUUCCUUCUCAGUUUUAUGUUUAAUCUUUUGAGUUGUAGUUACUAUAUAAAUUUAUAAACUGAGAUGUGGAGAUUGCAAUAUUGAUCUAAGUUCAGUUCAGUCUAUUACGUGACCUGAGUUUGUUAUCCAUGAUUUCCCUCAUUUCUUUGUUAUCGCACAUGUUCAUUAAUUGAUUAUAGUCUACUUCAGGUUUUUUUGUGCAUUUAGUUCUAGGUUGUUUUGAUCUGAGCAAGUGGCUCCCAGCUUUUCAUUGAUUUUGUAGAAUCGUUCAUUAUAUCGAGCCAUACCUGAUACUGAAUCUGAACGUUUCCAUCUCUGGUACCAUGGCACGACAUUGUGGCCGUAUCUUGCGGAAGAAGAGGACGACAAUGGCUUACAGAUGAAGAUGACAGUGGCAACUUGCAGUGUAACAGGCUCACAAUGCCGCCAUGGAUACUCUCCCGCACUAGCUAUUCAGGUAUAUUUAUUUUCUCCAUCUGAACUUCUAUAAAAUUAUGGGCUGCAGCUGCAUACGACAGAAAUUAUUGCGAAGGAGAAAAUGCUUGCAUGAUAGAUAAUGUAACUUCUAUUGUUGGAACUUAACUGUGAUAGUGUAUUAUUAAGAGAAAUAAGUUAGUACUAUAUUAUUAAAAGAAUGUUCAGGUUAGGAAGUACAUAUUUGUCUAUUCAUACGGCAACAAGCAUAAUCUCAUAUUGUUUUAUAUCCUGGAUUCUGACCAACUGAUCACACUGGCCUGAUUACAACUAUUGGGUGGUCAAACUGAAUUGGUAGAGCUGUAGCACAGAGGACGCAGGGUAUAUUUCUGUCUAAUGCAGCUGGAAGGUGAGUGUAUAAACUUCAGUGAUUGUGCAUAACAAAAGCCAUUGGGAGGGGAAGAACAUAUUGAGUUGUACUCAAAUAUUUCUGAAAACUCAAGAUCCAUAUGCUUUUAGACUUCCAGGCAUGCAUAAAAAUACACACUUGAUUAAUUUAGUGUGAAGAGAUCACUGUCCAUGUGUUACUUAGAUUAGCUUUGCUGCUUUGAGGCAAUAGAGUUUUGAGGCCCACUGGUUCAUUAAAGAGGUAUUUUUCUUCUUCUUCUUCUUAUGCUCUCAUUGUUCUUCUCUUUUGUGCUUUAACAUUGUUCUUGUGUUUCCGCUUAAUCUAAGGUUGUCAACAAUCAGCUGUUUGCUAUUUGUAGGAUUUUAUUGUAAACUUGGAAAUCCAUUGGCAAAUAGCGCUAUUUGGGAUACUGGUUGUAUUGUUCCCCCCCGUUGGUCUGGACAUGCCUUUGGAUUCUUCCAAGUAGAAAGAUGAUUUUGUUUUUUCUAUCUUAGUAAUAAAAAUGAAAGGUUAAUACCAUUAUGUUCUCUGAAUAUUGCUAUGGCUGAUAUGCUACUUGAUUAAAUAAUUGUGGUUUUCUUAAACUAGCAAUAUUUCUAAUUUUCUCUUUUUGGGAGGAUAACAGUAAUUUAUGUGGUGUUAACAUCUGUAAUUUGGUGAGGACUUUCCAUUCAUUGGAUAUUAAGAUGUCCAGUUGUUGAUAUUCGGAGAAUCUGCUCAUCUUUUUCUUUUGUUAGUCUCUCCAUGAAGGAAAGGUAAGGAAUUGCAUCGUGCUGCUAACUUUGCUCUUUUCACUAUGGAGUUAAGGCCCUUACUCUUAGGGUGUGUUUGGUUCGGGAACGAAGUGUAAUGGAAUGUCAUGGUUCCAUUCCACUAGAAUGGGUCGGUUCCAUCCUUGUGUUUGGUAGACAUAAUUCGAAGGAAUAGAAUGGUUACGUUUCGUUGUUUGGUCUGAGAGAUGGAAUGGAAUUGAUUUGUUCAUCUCACCUUGAAUUCUGUUGAAUUUCAAUCAAACAAAAAUCACCGAAUAAAGUACUCAUCCAUCGAUCCAUGCAACAAAGGCGUGUGAGCAUCAACGAUUCACGAACUGAAGGAUUGAGCACGCUUCGUCAAAAACAAAUCGCAGAGAACCAGAGAAGAUAAUAUCGGACUCAUGCUACAAGAUCAACAGCAGCCACCCAACACAAGAUCCCAGCGUGCUACAAGAUCAAUAAUAGGCACCUACAAGAUCCCGGCGUGCUCAUGCAGUGUAUUAGGUCAGAGGGAAGAGAGAGAGAGAAGGGCAGAGGUCCGUGGGUCGCCAUCAAGGGAGAUACAGAGGGGCGACUCAAGGUUGUGGGCAAGCAAGGCGUUCCGCGUUGUCAGCUUGAUUUGGAGGAACUACUUGGUUCGGCAUAUAGCAUGAAUAUUCCUCUCCCGAGAACCAGUGCGUUCCAUUCCGUUUUCCAACCAAACACGAGAACGACCUCCAGGGACGGGUCCGACCCAUUACGUUCCACUUCGUUCCUCGAACUGAACACACCCUUAGCUACAUAUACUAACUGAGGUUCGGUUCAAUUACUCGAUUCAAGAUUCAAAUAUAUGUUCGGUGCAUUCAAUUCUAGUUGUUCUCAGUAGAAAUUGAUUCUGCUCUUAUCUUCUUUUCAUGGUUUUAUCUUUUGAUCUUCGCAAACUACUAGCAGCAAUAAAGCAAGACAUUUGUCGAUAGUGCUCGGACCCUUCCCCGGACCCUGUGCAAGCGGGAGUUAUGUGCACCGGGCUGCUAUUUAGAGCAUAUCUAAGUUCUUGGUGUUCAGUAUGAUAAAAGGAAACAUGUUUCUUUUUAUUUUUAUCGUCGUCAUUUUAGUUCAUUCAUGUGAUCUUUCAUGCUCUAAAUAGUCUUUUGGUACUAGCAGCAAUAUCAUAUUAUGUCUCUGAAAAAUUCUUUCAGCAACGAUUGUGUCCUCGCAAUUGCGAAGUCUGAGAUUGAACUACAGAAAUUCAGGAUCCUUAUGUUUUUGAAAGAACACAUACACAGGCCGCGGAGCCAGUCUCUCGCAUAGGUAACGGUCGCUCUCACGGACACUACUGCUAGAUAAUCAGAGUACUAUCAGAAGCUCCAUUGCUGGAUCAAGGCUCGCCAAACCCACAGUUGGAUGACACUGGUGGACGCAAGACGUGAUGCAUCUAUGGUUAUUUUAGAAAACAAACACUAUUUGAGGGACCAUUUCAUCUCGCAAUGGACUUUAAGAUGGGGAUUCAUUUGUCAUGUCAUGGUACUGAUACACUCUAAUUAUUCAGAAAAGUAUCCAGUAUACUAUUUAUGGUAAUGUCCAUCAGCUGAUCACAGAGAUCUUUGAGAAUCAA